UGGGGAAUAUUGCACAAUGGAGGGAACUCUGAUGCAGCGACGCCGCGUGAACGAAGAAGGCUUUCGAGUCGUAAAGUUCUUUUAUAUGGGAAGAUAAUGACGGUACCAUAAGAAAAAGCCCCGGCUAACUACGUGCCAGCAGCCGCGGUAAUACGUAGGGGGCUAGCGUUGUCCGGAUUUAUUGGGCGUAAAGGGGGCGCAGGCUGCUUCUUAAGUCUGAUGUGAAAGCCCACGGCUUAACCGUGGAAGUGCAUUGGAAACUGGGAAGCUUGAGUACAGAAGAGGAAAGUGGAACUCCAUGUGUAGCGGUGGAAUGCGUAGAUAUAUGGAAGAACACCAGUGGCGAAAGCGACUUUCUGGUCUGUCACUGACGCUGAGGCCCGAAAGCGUGGGUAGCAAACAGG
rnacentral:rRNA from 1 species